rnacentral:rRNA from 1 species
UGAGGAAUAUUGGUCAAUGGACGGAAGUCUAAACCAGCCAAGUAGCGUGCAGGAUGACGGCCCUAUGGGUUGUAAACUGCUUUUGUAUGGGGAUAAAGUUAGGGACGUGUCCCUAUUUGCAGGUACCAUACGAAUAAGGACCGGCUAAUUCCGUGCCAGCAGCCGCGGUAAUACGGAAGGUCCAGGCGUUAUCCGGAUUUAUUGGGUUUAAAGGGAGCGUAGGCUGGAGAUUAAGUGUGUUGUGAAAUGUAGACGCUCAACGUCUGAAUUGCAGCGCAUACUGGUUUCCUUGAGUACGCACAACGUUGGCGGAAUUCGUCGUGUAGCGGUGAAAUGCUUAGAUAUGACGAAGAACUCCGAUUGCGAAGGCAGCUGACGGGAGCGCAACUGACGCUUAAGCUCGAAGGUGCGGGUAUCAAACAGGAUUAGAUACCCUGGUAGUCCGCACAGUAAACGAUGGAUGCCCGCUGUUGGUACCUGGUAUCAGCGGCUAAGCGAAAGCAUUAAGCAUCCCACCUGGGGAGUACGCCGGCAACGGUG